GAUCAGUACAGCCUCUGCAACCGAAAAAAUGUCUAAAACAAAGAGUUCAUUGGAAAGGUAAGCUGCGAGUCUUAAAAAAGAAGUUGGUUUCACAGAAAGUUGGUGAGUCAUACAUCCUAUUUGAGGAACUGAUACUGUACAACAAUAACUGACUAGAUUCAACAGCAUCCUGGAAAGCUAUUGUCUUCAGUCUAUUGUGAACACUUCCUUGGUUGUUGCUUUUGCUAUCUGCCAGGUUAGAACCAGUUGCGAUCUGGUAAAGGCGUUCAAUUCAGUUUGGUUGUAGCUUUGAAAAGAGAUUAGGUUUGUUAAGGGAUAUUCUGGCGUAAAAUUAAUUUAGGAUCAAACACACUUUAACUCGAGAGAUAAAUGUUGCCGACCGGCUGCUUCUCCAGUUAUACCAACUUUAGUAAUGACUGCAAGAUAGCAAUACACAGUGGUCUAAGGGGGGCAUAAACAAACCUCAACCAAAAAGCCACUCUAUAGCCACAAAUAAUGCUCAGAACAGCACCUAACUUCAUCAACAGGACAUAUAGGGUCCCAGCCAUAGUAGUAGCCACCAAACAUCUUUUUAACUUCGCCGUAUUUCUUUAGCAACGAGACGUAACACAACUCACCUACUCUCUUCCAGCAGCUGCUUGUUUGUUACGAGACCUCAGGCCAGUCCAUUAUGGACUAUAGUGGGGUGACGCAGCUCAAGGAAGAACAUUUAUGAUCAUUACUUUAUCAUUUCCUUUAAGUAAUAAUCACCAUAUUAAUCAUUUUGCACUGCAGACACGGUAGUUCUUCUGCCUUAGCGUCUCAGUCUGAUUGCAUUUCCAUGAAGAAAUUAUCAUAAAUGUUCUAACUCGGUCAAAAAUGAUGGAAAGUUACAAACUAACAUGCACUGGUUAAUUUCUCUGAUAAUGCCAGGUUACUUUCCUUAUACACUUAGAUAACCUUCUCUAGACCUGGCAAUAUUUUGAACACAAGCACACAAGUAAUAAUUCAACAGAUGAGCCAAUGAAUAUUAAUUAUUUUUGUCUUUUUUUCAGAAACAUUUAAUAUUAAUGUGUUUUAUCUCACCGUCUGUGGUCAGAAGUGGACUCAGCCUACUUAAAGCAAAAGGACAAGAACUAUUGUUGUUGUCAGAGAGGAAAUGUCUGUUGAAUUAAUGAAGAAGUGAAUUGCAAAGAAGCUUCUCAGGUCCAUAAUCUCAGUUCAGUCAAUGACUCGAGAGCAUCUGACUUUUUUUUGUGAUCCCUGCUUUGUGGAGAAUCCCGAAUGAGUGAAAUUCAUUUGGUAUGUGGCUUAGAUUAAAAAAGUUGUCAUCCUGAGUCGAAGCACACCUCGACUAUUGAAUGCAAAACACAACAGUCUCAAAAUCCGACUCUGGUAACCUUGUACAGAAUCUCUAAUGACCGCAUAGUGAAAUUAUCUACCUCUACGGCUCAUAUGGUGUGACGGCUCUUUUACUGAAGGACGAUAGAUAUAAAAGUUCAAUUUGGCUGACUGGGUCUUUUACUGCUUUGGUGCUAUGUUAUUGCUGAAAAGAUUUCUUUUUUUAAUUCCUUGACAUUUUGAACAAAAUGAAAAAGGCACCAUAAACAAAGCAGAGUGUACCUGAUAAAAAGGGAUAAGAAAUUGCUUUGUAUGCCAUCUGUCGCACUCUGACUUUCUCUGAAUGAUAUGAAAUAGUUCACAAGUUAAGUAGAAACAGGAUGAAAUAUCAAUCUAACAUGCUGCAGAUGGCCGGCAUCAUGAACUCUGCUGACCAAUAGCUGAGAUAACACUGCCAGCGCACAAGAGAAAACAAGAUGCAGAGUGUAUGCAAAGCAGGUUUAGUGCGUGAAAUUGAACACUUUGCAACUGCUACAUUGGAUUUCUCGCAAGGUACAUUGGCAAUCAACAGCCAACAGUGGAAACACCCAAGCAGUAUCAAUCUUGAUUUGUGUCCUCUACCGUCUAAAUUGUGCCCCUGCUGGACCCGUUUGAUGGAGUGCAUAUUGUGUUAGCGACAACUCGGUGGAUUUGUUUCUCACCCUCUUCACUUAAUAGCACGUGAAGUGAGCUGAUUCAAUUCCCAGUGCCCACACUCGGCUGUAAACGCCACAGACGAACAAUGCUGAAAUAUUUAUUGGACACGAGGAGUGUGUAUGUCAGGUUGAUGGUUUCAUGAUGGAGAACAUGCUGGUUCAAGAAGUCAAAAAGUAAAAGAAGAAAUACUGAAGAUGCGAGAAGAAUAAAAGUCUGAAAAGGAUAAAAAAUGGUUUGACACCUUCUUUCAUGGAAAUUAAAGUUAUCAAAUCAAUUAAAUCCCAGUAUAUCAUGUUCCUUGACAGCACAUGUUGGUGCUAAAUACCGUUAAAUAUCCUCCACUUGGUGUUUUCACAGCCAGCAGGUGAGUAAACUGUGAACACAAACAUGUCAGGCAAGUCUGCCAAUCAUUCAGCACCACCUAAUAACAUUUGCAUAAAUAACACUCAACGUCUCGCAGCUUUAUGUCAGUUACCAGCAAAUAAAAAAAACAUGUUCCAUGAUAGUUUUAAAGUAAGAAAAAAUAGCUCUUACAUCCAAACAAAAAUAUGUAGCACCAAAGACAGAAAAAAGAGGGUAAACCCGUCUUGGAUGCUAUGGUUACCGAUCAUGGGCCUAAAGAGGCAUUUAAAAGUCAUUUAAAGCUCUCCAUCCAUACAAAUCAGGAGAGUCAGAGGAAUGACAGGCGUGCUCGGAAAUGUGCUCCAUGAUGAUUAACAGUCCUCCUGAUUCAAGGCGAUGUCCGUGCCACUGUGUUGAACUCUCGGUUGCCAUGUCUCAUUAUCCCCACCUCACUAAUGGAAGGAGGAGACAAAUAAUUCAUCUGCCCCGAUGCUGACACGGAGCAGAACGGGUCUCCUCAGGGGGAACACUGAACAGCUUGUCAGUUAGAGGAUGGAGGAUGAGAAAAUAAGACACUAUCGCCAAGCAACAGGGGAAAAACAGCUUAAUUCAAAGUGCGCUGACGGUUUGUCUCAAUAAAACUCAGGCUAAUCAACUUAUACUUUGUGUAUUUUCCACCUCCAGAUUAGGUGGUUUACUCACACUUUAAGUGCUGUUGAACAAACACGUUUUAAAAAAGAGUGUUUACAGUAAAAAUGUAAUGAACUGCAUGAAAGCAUCCAGAAGUCACAUUCUCAUUUAGAAGACAACAAAAGCAGCUCUUUGAAGGUUACGAUAAAGCCGAAUUUCCCUUGUUAACCACUAACAUUAAUGCUGUUCGUCGUCUUUGACUCAUUUGAAGUCUGUUUAUCUGCUAUUUGCAGUCAUUUUAAUGCUUUGUGAGCUUCAGAAAGGAACAGCUGCUACCUGGGCAGCAACUAAUGCUGGAACAAAUAUAUAAUAAACUGGAUGGAGAUGUAGCAGCUGUCGAACUGGCUGAGGUACAAAUAAACACAUAGAGAGGAGGGGAAAAAAUGAACAAUUACAAGUUCAAGCUUAUUCCACACUCACACAGGCCAACAAAACUGCACAGUUUCAGCUCAUCAGCUGACCAAAAUGAAAUGCCAUUUUCAAAUAAAUAAAUGUUUACUGUUAUGCUUUGCGUUAACAAUACACCGAGGAAGAGAUGCACUGGAGAAUGAAAUUAUCUCACACACUGAGUUUUAACUAGCCAGAACUCUGACCUGUUACUGUAGAGAGAUAGAGCAGACUUUAUGGUUCAAAACAGGAUAAAUGCGGAGAAAUACACAAAACUUCAUCCUAUUAUGUAUCCCCAAACUUUGUUAGAUACCCACAACUGUUUUUAGUUUCUGGCCCAAAGCCUCUAAAUCGCACUGCUCCCUCAAAACAGUAAUUAACAUUUUGUCAAACGAGAAGUCAUGAGAAAUAUUGCAGCUUGCAGACGCUGAAAUACAUCUGUGUAAAUACAUGAAAAAAAGGCAUCUGAGACUUGGUAUAAGUUCCUAAAUUUAAGCAAUGUCAUGACAUAAGACAGCAACAGAAAACUAGGGAGUGUUUGGAUCUAAUUGCAUAAACACCACAGCACUACAGUGGUGUUCGAACCCUGUCUUUCUGCUUUCAUAAUCAAUGUUCCCUUGAUUUUUACAACACAGUAUAAUUCAUAGACAGAAGACACAGCACUUUACUUUUAAUUAAACAGAGCUGACCACACAAUCUGAUUGGAUAUGAUACAUCCAAUAUGAGUGCUGAUAGAAGAUGUGCUUGCAAAUCACUAGCACAUUGAAUAGAUUGUCUCACUAAGCCUGAAAUGCCGGUCAUAUAUUGUGUCUAAACUGUGGUAUUUUCGCCAAGUACUAGCUGAAGGUUUGGCCUGGUGUUCACUCCUGUCAUAGUGCUAUAAUGCUGUAUUACUCAGAUGUAAAGAAGCAUCUCAACGCGCAGCAGGAUUUGGCAUUUUAUUGAUAAAAAAAAAAAAAUUGAACUUUUGAAGAUAUGUCUUGAUAUUACUAAACACGGGCCAACAGAGUAUCAGGAACAGAUUCUUGUUGUCCAAUAAAUGGAUAUGGGGAAUGUCACUUUAUGGAGUAGAGUGCGUUGUAAGCAGGAAUUAGUUGUGUUGACAUGUUCAGUAAGAAAGUUGGGGUAUUUUAAUGCUUAUGGUGCCAGCCUUAGGUCAGCAUCACAUAAGCAGCUUUACUUUCAAAUGCAUGCAACCCCUUGAUCCAGGUGUUCGUCAUCACAGGCCAGUUUUCCGUAAAGUAUACUAUUCAUGCUUAUAAGAAUAAACACCACAGAGCAGCUUAGCUUUAGAAGAAAAAACAAACAGCAUUCAUCAGCAGCAUAAUCAGCCGUGACCGGCAAACAGUAAAAAGUCAUGAUUCUCUGUGGCUGACCUUUUCAGAAAGAUGACUUGUUAAUGCACGCAUCAAACGCUGGUGAAGCGAGAUCAUCCUUUUCCUCUAACCCAGCCCAGCACGAACACGGCAGCUGCUUGAUGGAAGGCGGAUGAACACGCACCAACACAAAAGUGCUUCUCUCCUCUUCAGACUGUGAAAGUUUCCACCACUGAAUGAGCUAAUUUAUUUUCACAGCCACAAAGACAAUUGCUUCCUAGGCUUGGUGUCGGCUCUGUUGUUCUGCUGUGAUAUGUGUGUGUGCGAGUGCAUUCAUGGCUGUACACUUCAACGCUUGAGCUAAAAUUAUGUGGUGUUUUUUUGGUACAUGAAGGUGUCUGUGUAUGCGCUUUGAAAGAAAAUAGCGUGAGGAUCAUAAAUGGAAGAUGAAAUAGUGAUGUUAAAUUAUUAUGCCAGUGGCUGUUCAAUUGCUGUGGAGGUCUCUACUGACAGCAGUAACAAAAGUGACCUAAAAACAGCUAGUAUUGUCUGUCCCUUUGCAUGAUAUUUCUCUCUAUAUAUACAUAUAUCUUGGUUGUGUAUCCCGGUGCCUUGCAGGGGGAGUUUUAAAGUAAAAUUCAUUUGUGAAAUCGGUGGUGCUUAGCUGUGACUGUGCACUCUUUUUUUAAUUUAAGGGGAAAUAUCUGUAUGUUUUUUCUCCUGUCUCGUGUGUGACUGCAGCCAAUGUUGCGUCGCUCCUUUGGAGCAGCUAAUCCUCUCCAGUAGGGUUGUUUUUAAGAACUGGAUGAUACAACACAGCUAAUUUAAAAACCUCUAUAUUGGCCUUCAAGUGCUCACUUUCUUUUAGUACAACUUUACUUAAGUUAACCCGAGGAAAGUUUUACACGUAUUCCAACUCUACACAUACUGACCUUAAAUGACUUAUUUAAGAUGAAAUGAAGCAUAGUGUUAGUUCUGGCAGGUCACAACGUCAAGCGCUGAUCCGCAGCCAAUGAAAAGUAGCAACCUCAACUUCAACCAGCUGAUGGCCCUGCUGAUUUCCUCCUAGCUCCUACUGGUCCUUUGCCUUUAGAGCACCUUAUUUAAAACUGUCCUAACCCAGCUUCUUCCUCUGCUUCAGCAGCCAACCAACAACCCACCUCCACCCCAGCUCCACCUUUGUGCCGGCUAAAACUGCUCCACUACCCUUCAAGCGCCUCUGUUCUUGGGGGCGGGUUCUGUUCACUGCUGCUCUACCCCCGUUGUUCCUGCCUUCAUGAUGCCUCAUGAAGGGCGGAUAUGUGCUCUUCCUGCUUCUGGCCUUAAACACAUGCUUGCGUGGCCGCGAACAGAACCUCGUGUGCGCCUCCUGCUAUCACCUUUUCAUGAUGGCUUGUGAAGGGCAGGAAGGGGCUCUUCCUGCCUCUGGCUUCCACGCAAGCUCAUGGAAGGGCAGGGACCCAGAACAGAACUAUGCUGCCAAAUUUAACUUUGCACAGUGAAGCUGAAUUUUGACAAAGUGAUCCUGACUGAAUUGGUGUCUAUUUUGGUCAGUGAAAAGAGUGGACACUGCACCUCCAUCCUCCUCCAGGUCUGUAAUGCAAAUGAUGGGCACUUAUAUAUUACUCUAGUGCAGCAAAGGCACGCACAGAGCUGAUCUGGCUGAUGAAACCCCGUCACUAACGUCACAUCAUUUCUGGUAAUCAAAACACACAUUUCCUUACCCAUACAAAGUAAAAGUGCGUGUCUUUCUAUCUUUCACAUUAAGUCCACACAGCUUGUUUUCUGAAGUGCAUGCUUGACAUUGUGCUGCCAGUCACCUCAUGAACUAACUGAUGCAACCUGACCUGCCACUUCAACUAACGUUGCUCUUGUAAAAAAUAAAAGGUCAAGGUCUGAGCACAUUUGCAGAAUAAACACAACAAAACCUCAGUGAAAUGGAUCACAGCUUUGAAACUGGUCCAUCAGCAGGUUUAUGUGACAUUUUUACCAAUGCAGGAUGCCACAGACUGGAGCAUUUGGAUCUUAAAUGUCGUGAUCUGUGACAGAUUCAGAUCAGUUUGUCUGAACACCUCUAUUAAAAAGUGAAGGAUCCCUCAGCUUGGGACAGUCUAUAACAGAUUUUGUUUUGGUGCUCAUUAGAUGCAGACGUUUAUGGCUAUGGAAAGUUCAAUGAUUCUUGUAUUUGUGAUUGUUACAUUUUCUUUCACAGUUCCUCCUCUAUUCGGCUAAUAUGAUGGAGAACGCUGCAGGAGCUGCUCCAACGGUUCUGGCCUCACUCUGGACUCUGUUGUUGUUCAUUUAUAAGUAUACUUGUGUUGAUUUACCUGUCACAUUUGUAAAUGUCCUUGCACAUUAAGAUUGGAC